AUGGAGUCGUUCACCAACACUGCCCCCACGCCACCCAAAGCGCCGCAGCGGCCGCACGUCGUGCUUCUGCCCAGCCCCGGCGCCGGCCACCUCAUUCCAAUGGCCGAGCUGGCGCGGCGGCUCGUGGAGCUCGGCUUCUCGGCCACGAUCCUCACCUUCACCAAUCUCUCUGCCCCAGUAGAUGCAGAUCGGCUCACCCCGUGCCUCCCGGCCUCCGUUGCCGUCGCCGCGCUCCCCGCCGUCCAGAUGGACGACCUCCCCGCCAACGUCCACGAGGGCAGAGUGCUCGCGGAGCUCGCCCGCCGCUCCCUCCCCAACAUCCGCACCCUCGUUCACUCCAUCAACUCCACCACCCUGCUCGCCGCAGUCGUGCUGGACUUCCUCUGCCCCAUGGCGCUGCCCAUCGCCGCCGAGCUCGGCGUCCCCGGAUACAUCUUCUUCCCUAGCAACCUGGCCAUGGUCGCCCUCACGCGCCACAUCGUCGAGCUCCACGAGGGCGCCGCCCCGGGCGAGUACCGCGACGUCGCGGUGCCUCUCGAGCUUCCCGGCGGCGUGUCGCUGUGCGGCGCCGACAUCCCGGACGCGUUCCGCGCCAGUUUCACGAACCCGCGUUACGCGAAACUUGUCGAGUUGGUCCGGAGCUAUCGCCUCGCCGAUGGCAUACUGGUGAACACGUUCUACGAGAUGGAACUUGGCACCGCGGAAGCCUUCAAGCGGCUGGAGCAAGCUGCGGGCGCGUUCUUCUUCCCGCCGGUCUUCCCGGUGGGGCCAUUCGUCCGGCGGCCAGAUCCCGACGAAGCCGCCGCGGGCGCGUCGUCGCCAUGCUUGGAGUGGCUUGAUCGUCAGCCGGUCGGCUCCGUCGUGUACGUCGCCUUCGGGAGCGGCGGAGCACUUCCCGUGGAGCAGACGGCCGAGCUCGCGGCCGGGCUGGAGGCGAGCGGCCAAAGGUUUCUUUGGGUCGUGCGGAUGCCAAGCCUCGACGGCGGCAACGGCCAUUGCCGCGGCGACGGAGACUAUGACGAUCCAUUGACGUGGCUCCCUAAGGGCUUCUUGGAGAGGACGAGAGGCAGGGGCCUAGCCGUGGCGGCGUGGGCGCCUCAGGUGCGCGUGCUGUCCCACCCCGCGACCGCCGUCUUCGUGUCACACUGCGGAUGGAACUCGACGCUGGAGAGCGUGGGGUGCGGUGUGCCGAUGCUCGCGUGGCCGCUGUACGCGGAGCAGGGGAUGAACGCCGUUAUCCUGGAAGAGAAGCUCGGGGUGGCCCUGCGGGUGCCGCCAGCGCGCGAGGACGAUCGAUGCUUGGUGACGCGCCACGAGAUCGCCACCGCCGUGAAGGAGCUCGUGGAGGGGGGCCAAAAGUUGCGGCGCCGGGCCGAGAGCCUGCAGAAAGCGGCAGCAGGUGCGUGGUCACCAGAGGGGCCGUCGCGCCGGGCGCUCGAGGAGGUCGCCGUCAAGUUGAAGGCGGCGCUUGGCAGAGAGAAGUGA
rnacentral:rRNA from 1 species